CCUACGGGAGACAGCAGUGAGGAAUAUUGGUCAAUGGCCGGAAGGCUGAACCAGCCAUGCCGCGUGAAGGUCAGUGCCCUAUGGGCGUUAAACUUCUUUUGUGCGGGAGCAAUAAUGGUCACGUGUGGCCAGACGAGAGUACCGUACGAAUAAGCAUCGGCUAACUCCGUUCCAGCAGCCGCGGUAAUACGGGGGAUGCAAGCGUUAUCCGGAUUUAUUGGGUUUAAAGGGUGCGUAGGCUGUGAGGUAAGUCAGCGGUGAAAUGCCCCCGCUCAACGGGGUGAAGUGCCAUUGAUACUGGCGUGCUGGAAUGCGGAUGCCGUGGGAGGAAUGUGUGGUGUAGCGGUGAAAUGCAUAGAUAUCACACAGAACACCGAUUGCGAAGGCAUCUCACGAAGCCGCGAUUGACGCUGAUGCACGAAAGCGUGGGUAUCAAACAGGAUUAGAUACCCCAGUAGUC
rnacentral:rRNA from 1 species